AGAGUUUGAUCCUGGCUCAGAAUGAACGCUGGCGGCGUGCUUAACACAUGCAAGUCGCACGAGAACGCUUCAGCUUGCUGAAGCUAGUAAAGUGGCGCACGGGUGAGUAACGCGUGGGUAAUCUACCCUUAAAUUGGGGAUAACAUCGCGAAAGUGAUGCUAAUACCGGAUGAUAUCUUAAAAGCCUCGGUUUUAAAGAUCAAAGAUGGCCUCUACAUGUAAGCUAUUGUUUGAGGAUGAGCCCGCGUACCAUUAGCUUGUUGGUAGGGUAAUGGCCUACCAAGGCUGCGAUGGUUAGCUGGUCUGAGAGGAUGAUCAGCCACACUGGAACUGACACACGGUCCAGACUCCUACGGGAGGCAGCAGUGAGGAAUUUUGCGCAAUGGGGGAAACCCUGACGCAGCAACGCCGGGUGAGUGAUGAAGGCUUUCGGGUCGUAAAGCUCUGUCAAGUGGGAAGAAACCACAUGGUGAUAAUACCACUGUGUGCUGACGGUACCACUGAAGGAAGCACCGGCUAACUCCGUGCCAGCAGCCGCGGUAAUACGGGGGGUGCAAGCGUUAUUCGGAAUUACUGGGCGUAAAGAGCGCGUAGGCGGUCUCUUAAGUCGGGUGUGAAAGCCCGGGGCUCAACCCCGGAAGUGCACUCGAAACUAUGGGACUUGAGUAUGGGAGAGGGAAGUGGAAUUCCUGGUGUAGC
rnacentral:rRNA from 1 species